rnacentral:lncRNA from 1 species
AUUGCGGAAGCUUUGCUUGUUGUCGUAUUAUUUUAAAAUCAAUUGUAUUUUUUGAAAACGCUCCCUAAAGCUAUCCAAUUUCAACAGUUAAAAUAAGUAAUACCUAUCUUAGUAAUACAUAUUAAAACUAUCAAAAAUAAUUAAGCGACCUUAUUACAUUUAAAAAACCCAAAACUUCAAACGUAAAUAAAAGGAUGUCCAGUUCACCAGAAGAAAACCAAACUUUCAGAACGGGUGGCCACUUCGAAUUCCCUCACAGCUUCAAGCCCACUAUAGUUAAGGAUUUCCUGCGUGGAUGAAAAUAAAAGGGGUGAGUUUAAGAAAACUCAGUGUGUAAAGAAAACCUAUUCAAAGCCCAAGUCAGCUCAAGCCUAUUGGGCCUAAGCCCAUUUAGGUAACAGUGGUACUGGACCAGAGCCCUUUUCAGAUUACAAUAAACUGGGCCUUAGCCCCUUAUUCAGAUAACAGUAUGGCCCAUAGGCCCAUUUCAAAAUACAUGUAACAUCAAUAACAUAUGCAAGCCCAUUUGGGGAGACUACUCAACCCACCAACCACUACACUCCACCCGUACCAGCCAUACACUCCAUGUGGGGAAUAGCUCAACCCACCUAACCCAACACUCCACAGUUGCAGCCUUGCUGCUCAGUUAGCAGUAAAUUGAGGCAAAGCCUCCAGUACGUGGACAAGCCACUUUCAGUACUUCCUCCGUCAAUAUCUCAAUCCCAUGCAUCAGAUAAUAACAUGGCAUGCAGUAAAUAACAACAGCCAAACAUGCAUUUAGGUCAAUUUAACCCUAGGGGUAUUUCGGUAAUUUAUCUACUAGGGGUAAAACUGUAAAUUUUCCAUUUUUAAAGGUAUUUUAGUAAUUUAUCUAUUUUAGAGUUUUUCAUGCAUAUUCCUACUUUUCACGUACUAACAGAAUCACGUACCGAGUGUUCUUACCGAAUUGGGCCUGUUGGCCCAUCAUUUCAAUUUUGGCCCAUUAAGCCCAGAAAUAUCGAGGGCACAGAAAUAAUACAUUUCACAGUCCAAAUUUUGUAGCUUACCAAAAACAUUAAUCGAUUUACCUCACGAGCAUUUGCAUACUCGUAAAUUUACAAAAUACUAGUUUUCAGCAUUUUGAUUUGUCAACUUUUGUCGAUCCAGACUAAGAAAGAGGGUGUUAGUUACAUACUUGUUUGCGACGAUAUGCUGAUGAGAUCUACACACGAACCGCCUACAAUUGGAUUACUAACACGUUAAUCUAACUAUUCAAAUACAAACUACGUAUUAACCCCUUACAAUAUUCGGCCAACCACACCUACAGAUCAUAGUAAGCUUAUAAGAAAUCAAUAAGCAACUCAUUAACAAAUUUUUGUCAAUGUUAACCACAUAAUCAUAAUUUCACUGCAAGCUGUCUUCUUGAGAAAUAGUCACUAAAUCAUUUAUAACUGGUGCUACAAAACUCCAAAUCAAGUGCCGUUAAUUUUCCCUGAAAAUACUCAUAUAUCUUAUAUCCAUAAAAUUUUCAGAAUUUUUGGUUUGAUCAAUCAAUACCAGAUAUUUCUCAAAGUUUCGCAUGUUUCACUGUUUGACUAAUCUGACCACUCUUCAUUACGAAUCAAAUUUUUCAUUGUACAGAAUUCAAAAUAUGUUCUCGUUUAUUUCAUUUGAAACUAGAUGCAAUAAGCUUUAAUUACAUAAUUUAUUCAGCUUCUAAUUCAUCUCCCACAAUUUAUGGUGAUUUUCCAAAGUCACGUUACUGCUACUGUCCCAAGCAGAUUUAUUACCAAAUUCACUCUUUCACACAUAACAUGUAUAUCACCAAUCAAUCAUCACAUAUCUAUGAUUUUACUUAAGUAUAAUCUCAAUUUCAUCAUUUUAAAGCACAUGUUAGCCGAUAUUUCCCCUUAGCAUCUAAGGCACAUACAUGCUCAUUUGUUUGGCUCAACUUCACCUAUCUUUCAUUUUUUAUCAAAAGAACAUGAAACAACAACCAUUUCCUUCGUUUUAAUUCAUGACUAAAUGCUCACAAUACAACUAAAAACUAAAAUAUGCUUCAAGAGUUAAGGUAGAAUCAAGAACUCAUGAACCUCAAAAUAAAAAUAAACUACCAUGAACUUACCUUCAAUUUUUCUUCCCCAAGUGACCGAACAUUCAAGAGCUUUCUCUUCUCCUUUCUCUUCUCCAACUUUAGGCUAUAAUGAACAAAGAUGGACAAAACUUUAUUCUUUUCACCCCUUUUUCUUUUAAUAAAAUUUAAUAUUUCAUUUAUUUAAUUCUUUAAUACAAAAGAUAUGAAAUUUCCAUCAUGAAAUAUUUAUUUAACCCAUUAUCAUGAAACAUUUACCUAACCCAUUAUCAUGGAACAUUUACCUAACCCAUUAUCAAUUUGUACCAUGAAUUAUAGAUAUCAAGUGUUCAUAUUGUCUACAACAACAUGAUGGCUGACUACUUCAUAUAAAAUGAGAGGUUUGUCAUGCAAAUCCUUCUAUUUUACACUAUUAUUUAUUUGGCCACUUCAAUUUAGCCUAUAGCAUUUUCAAACAUUUUUACAUAGGUCCUAUUUCAUAAUUUCACUCACAAAUGACAAAAUUAAAACAUAAAAUUUUGUCAACAUUCACAGAAUUCCCGAAAAUUGAAACGUUAAAGCAAACGAAAGAAAAAAUCUUUUCAAAAUCUUAAAGAUAGGAUCUAUUCGAGAAUUGAAGGACGGAGCUCCAGGUUACUAUCACAAGAAAGAAAGGAGGUCUUCAUUAAAUCAAUGCUUCAGGCAAUACCAACCUACGCUAUGUCAUUUUCUCUUUUACUGAAAUCAUUAUGUGAGGAGUUAGAAAAUAUUUUUUGCUAAAUUUUGGUGGCAAAAUGGCUAUGGAAAAAAAAAUACAUUGGUGUCAGUGGAAGCAUGUGUCAUCCUAAAGAAGAGGGAGGGAUAGGUUUCAGAAGUAUAAAUCAAUUUAAUAUAUCAUUAUUAGCAAAGCAAGAUGGAGGAUUUUAAAUACCCCAAACUCUUUAGUUGCGUAAGUACUUAAAGCGAAAUAAUUUCCGAAUGAGGAUUUUUUGAAUUCGCGUUUGGGAAACAAUAGUUCUUAUAUAUGGAAAAGUAUAUGGGCGACAAAGGGCAUCUUGGCAGAAGGACUUUGCUGGAAGGUGGGUAAGGGCACGAAUAUUUCAGUUAUUAAUGAUGCUUGGAUUCCAGAUGCAAGAAAUUUCAGAUUAUCGUCGUUUGCUCAUAAUAUGUGAAAUUAUAAAGUUGCUGAGCUAAUUGAUAAUAAUGACAGAAAAUGGAAGCGGGAGUUGAUUGUCAAUACCUUUCCGGAGGAAGAAGCUGAAAAGAUCUUUCGUAUUCCUUUGGAGAAAGAACCUCAUGACGAUUUUUUGGUCUAGAGCGGUGAACCUUCAGGAGAAUACUCGGUUCGAACACCUAUAAACUAUUACAAAUUUCUGAAGAUCCUAGAGCUUAUGCUUUGCAAACCGACUACAGGAAGUUUUACAAAAAAACUCUAGCUCCUAAAUCUACCUUCAAAAAUUAAGAUUAGCGUCUGGAAAAUAUCAUGGAAUUAUUUGCCUACACGGGUUAACGUGCAGCAAAGGAGGCUAACAAAUAUUGUAAUUUGUCCUCGGUGUGGAAAAUGGGCAGAAACUAUGGAUCACCUUUUUCGCGAAUGUCCUGUUUUAGUGUAAGUUUGGACAGAAUUAUCAAUCCCGAAUUUUUUACAGGAAUCUAAUUUGGAGUUUCUACAGUGGCUCACCUGGGUUUUUACUCAGAACACUCCCUCUCAAUGUAGAAUAUUUUUUUGUGCGCUAUGGGCCAUUUAGGGAGAAAGGAACGCUAGAAUGCAUGAGAAGGUAAGCAGAACUGGGAAAGAAAUAGCUAGCUUUGUCAAUAGUUAUAUUACAAAACUAAAUGGGGUUGAAUAAAGAACCCCCAAAAUUUCGCAGGAAGUUAGAAAAUGGAAUUACCCACCUGGUCAGUAAAUAAAAUCAACUUUGAUGGAGCAUACGAUGGGCAACAUUUUCAAUUGGUUUCGGAGAUUGUGGCUAGAAAUAGCGAAGGGAAUGUUCUUCUAUCUUGUUCAGAAAUUCAUCAAGAAGUGGCCUCCGCCUUCACUCUGAAGCACUCGCUUGUCGCGAAGUAGCCCAAAUGGGAAUAUACAUGCGAUGGCCAAAGAUUGUUAUAGAAGGCGACUCAUUAUCAAUAAUGAAAAAGUGCAAGGCAGAAAAACAAGAUAAAUUGUAGGUAGGAGCAUAUAUACAUGAUAUUCAACAAAUAACAUCUAGAUCUAGAAACUUAGUGUUUGAAUAUAUUCCAAGAUCAGCAAAUGGUUUAGCACAUAUACUAGCAACUGAAUCGUUAAAAAAGGAGGAGGUGUACUUGUUAGAAAGCAUCCCUGGAUAUGCUAAAAACCAGAAAGAAUUUGAUAGAGUGCGAGAACCAGAUUGAAAACGGAUAGAGAAAAAAAGGAAGGAAGGAAAGUUUCAAAUGAGCAGAUCAAUGGUUUUGGUGAUAAAAGCUUUCGUUGGAAAACUUUAACCGUCUUUAAGAAGAAAUGGGAGAUUGAUAGACAAGACGGGCAUCAGUGUUCUUUGAUUGGGCAAAGUUGCGGUGAUAAUUAUGAGCUUCUAGACUAUUCUUAUUUUAUUUUCUUUUUAGAAAUUCUUUUUAAUUCGGGCCAUUUUUUAAUGUUGGGCCUUCUCUUCUGUUUUAGUUCUAUU